rnacentral:rRNA from 1 species
CGGUACCUGAAGAAAAAGCAUCGGCUAACUCCGUGCCAGCAGCCGCGGUAAUACGGAGGAUGCAAGCGUUAUCCGGAAUCAUUGGGCGUAAAGGGUCCGCAGGUGGCCAAUCAAGUCGGCUGUUAAAGACCGGGGCUUAACUCCGGGCAGGCAGCGGAAACUGAUUAGCUAGAGUACGGUAGGGGUAGAGGGAAUUCCCAGUGUAGCGGUGAAAUGCGUAGAUAUUGGGAAGAACACCGGUGGCGAAAGCGCUCUACUAGGCCGAAACUGACACUGAGGGACGAAAGCUAGGGUAGCGAAAGGGAUUAGAUACCCCUGUAGUCUUAGCUGUAAACGAUGGAUACUAGGUGUAGCUCGUAUCGACCCCAGCUGUGCCAAAGUUAACGCGAUAAGUAUCCCGCCUGGGGAGUACGCACGCAAGUGUGAAACUCAAAGGAAUUGACGGGGGCCCGCACAAGCGGUGGAGUAUGUGGUUUAAUUCGAUGCAACGCGAAGAACCUUACCAGGGCUUGACAUGUCGCGAAUCUAGCGGAAACGUUAGAGUGCCUUAGGGAAUGCGAACACAGGUGGUGCAUGGCUGUCGUCAGCUCGUGUCGUGAGAUGUUGGGUUAAGUCCCGCAACGAGCGCAACCCUCGUCCUUAGUUGCCAAUAUUAAGUUAGGCACUCUAGGGAUACUGCCGGGGACAACUCGGAGGAAGGUGGGGAUGACGUCAAGCCAGCAUGCCCCUUACGUCCUGGGCGACACACGUACUACAAUGGUUGGAACAAAGGGCAGCAAGCUCGCGAGAGUAAGCGAAUCUCAUCAAACCCAGCCACAGUUCAGAUUGCAGGCUGCAACUCGCCUGCAUGAAGUAGGAAUCGCUAGUAAUCGCAGGUCAGCAUACUGCGGUGAAUUCGUUCCCGGGCCUUGUACACACCGCCCGUCACACCAUGGAAGCUGGCUACGCCCGAAGUCGUUACCCUAACCCUAAGGGGAGGGGGAUGCCGAAGGCAGAGCUAGUGACUGGGGUGAAGUCGUAACAAGGUAGCCGUACCUGAAGGUGUGGCUGGAUCACCUCCUUU